rnacentral:rRNA from 1 species
UGCCUCAGUAGCGGCGAGUGAAGCGGCAAGAGCUCAGAUUUGAAAUCUCACCUAGUGUGCGAGUUGUAAAUUGCAGGUUGGAGUCUCGGGUUAGACGUGUGUGCAAGUCCCUUGGAACAGGGUGCCACUGAGGGUGAGAGCCCCGUAGCGUGCAUGUCGACACCUGUGAGGCCCUUCUGACGAGUCGAGUUGUUUGGGAAUGCAGCUCUAAGUGGGUGGUAAAUUCCAUCUAAGGCUAAAUAUUGGCGAGAGACCGAUAGCGAACAAGUACUGUGAAGGAAAGAUGAAAAGCACUUUGAAAAGAGAGUGAAACAGCACGUGAAAUUGUUGAAAGGGAAGGGUAUUGGGCUCGACAUGGGAUUUACGCAUCGUUGCCUCUCGUGGGCGGCGCUCUGGGUUUUUCCUGGGCCAGCAUCGGUUUUCGUUGCAGGACAAGGACAAUUGGAAUGUGGCUCCUCGGAGUGUUAUAGCCUUUUGUAGAUGCUGCGUAUGGGGACCGAGGGCUGCGGCGGACUCGUUUCGUCUCGGAUGCUGGCACAACGGCGCAAUACCGCCCGUCUUAA